AGGAAAGAAGAUAAGAGCGAACGGCGGAUGCCUAGGCUAUCCGGAGGCGAGGAAGGACGUGGUAAGCUGCGAAAAGGCUCGGGGAACUGCAAACAGGUUUUGAUCCGAGCAUAUCCGAAUGGGGGAACCCAGUGGGUUGAAGACCCACUACCAUCACAGAUGGAGCGAACCCGGGGAACUGAAACAUCUUAGUACCCGGAGGAAGAGAAAGAAAACAUCGAUACCCUGAGUAGUGGCGAGCGAAAGGGGCAGAGCCUAAACCGGUGUGUUUACGGACAUGCCGGGGUUGUAGGACCUCUCAUCAAGCGAGAUCAACGAACCAGAACGCUGUGGAAACAGCGACCGCAGAGGGUGACAGUCCCGUACGGGUAAGUUUGUUUGAGCGCGAGAGGCACCUGAGUAGGGCGGGGCACGUGGAAUCCUGUCCGAAUCUGCGGGGACCAUCCCGCAAGGCUAAACACUCCCGGAAGACCGAUAGUGGACCA
rnacentral:rRNA from 1 species